ACCAUAAGUUCACCAUCAUGGAUAUGCUUGAGCAGGGAAUUGGACUAGAAGACCUCCAAGUUCCUUUCCAAUUUUGUUAUUCUGUUAUUGUUUGUUUAUUUGUUCAGAUAGCAAAUUAUUUUGGCCCAUUAGUUACCGCUGGACCCCCUCCCCACCCAUUAAUACCAGUCCUUAUGGCAAAGGCAAAAAGGUAUCCUUCUUCUGUCGUUUUCUCCAUCUUUGCUGCUAGAAGCAGCAAAAGACAGAGAAAUGAUUUUGUCCUCUCCCUGUAAUUGCAAAAAGAAAUGGGGAUAGGUUUUCGGGAUGGCUUAUAGAUGAAUAUUCAUUGCAGAUGCCUUGUAAAAUGAAGUAUUUUUCAAUUGCUACAGGAAGCUUUAAUGUGCUGUAAAACAUGAGGAAGUGGACAUUGGGGAUGGGGAACUCUGCACGGUAACCCCUGCAAUAAAUAUACAGCCAUACUGAGGAGACACCAGGGAAUUACUCAUCUGCUCCCCACAAAAAAGGAAGCAUUUCAAGAAAUUUGAUAGGUACAAAAUCAAGGGUCAUCUACCACCUCUUGUUACUUUGGCUGGGGACAAUGGGAUUUAUGCUGCAAGAAAUCUGAGGAGCUCCAGGGUGAACUAAAGUCUUCACACUAACAGUGGUCCAGUAUCAGCUUGCAUUCCAGCUGUCCAUCUUCAAUGUCACUUGGACAAGCCAACUACUAGUUUUUCAAACCACAAUUUGAACAUCUCUGCAGUAAUUUGUUCUUUCAUCAUAGAAUUUGCCAGCCCACUCCGAAGAAAGUAUCCAUAGGGCAAAUGAUCUUGGGUUUAACAACACAGCA